rnacentral:lncRNA from 12 species
GUUUGUGGCACAAAAUAUGCUGUACUCUUAGCAAGAGCCAAAGGGCCUGAGCUUGUAAACUGCUAAGAAAGCUCCAUUUUCUUACUAAGAGGAUCAUUUCUUUGGCUGGAGCCCAGCAAAAAGCUCCCUGGAUCAUAGUGCUGACUACGAAUGAGCCUCAGGUGUGUCUACAUCUCACAGACAAGGAGAGUUACAGCCAAUGCCAGCUACACAUAACAAAACCGGAUAGAAACAAUGAAAACCUUGCUGCCGAUUUUUCACUCAGAGACUUGAUAAUUUAUGGCAAAUGGGAAUGAAGCUAGGUCACCUCCAGACAGACAUUAGAAUGGAAAGGCUGUGCUACAGGAGGAGGAGGAUGGCUGCACUGCUGCCCAGGGCAUGCUUUGACCCAGUCCUCGGAGAAUCCGUCCCUGCUAAAA